CUCCAGGCUACUUUUUUACUUUCUUUUAUUAAUUUACUUUAUUGUUAUUAUACAGGUGAUGUACAGAGGGAAUACAAUCACAUGAGUCAGGUAAU